rnacentral:rRNA from 1 species
UACGUAGGGACCAAGCGUUGUUCGGAUUUACUGGGCGUAAAGGGCGCGUAGGCGGCGUGGUAAGUCAAUUGUGAAAUCUCCGAGCUUAACUCGGAACGGUCAAUUGAUACUGCUGUGCUAGAGUACAGAAGGGGCGAUCGGAAUUCUUGGUGUAGCGGUGAAAUGCGUAGAUAUCAAGAGGAACACCUGAGGUGAAGACGGGUUGCUGGGCUGACACUGACGCUGAGGCGCGAAAGCCAGGGGAGCAAACGGGG